UUGGACUGCUUGAACUUUAUUAUGGCAAUGUAGAUGCCCUUGUUGCUCUGUAAUUUGCUCUACACAAGAAAAAUAAGGUCAUAUGUGCCCUCCCCAAUUCCGCACAUCAUUGAUAAUGCUACAGAUUAAGUAAAUCAAAGAAUGGGAAAUCCUUAUCGCUUAGAGAUUUCAUGCUUUCAAUUCCAAGGUAAAUAGACUUAUUCAUAUUGACCUCACUUUGAUUUUGUCCGGAGACCAUCACUUCGCUCACAAGUUAUGUGAUUGAAAAAGUGAUUUGCAUUAAUGUACUAAGAAGAAUGGAAGUGAUCCUAAGUCUUGUCUUGCUCAGAUUACAAGUGUUCGGUAAGUAGCAACGUGGAAGAUGGGGAGGUUUUACGUUUCCAACACCUGACUUUGCAACAGACUGAGAACCGCCCCUGCUAAUCCUGCAUAGCUCAGAGCAAUGUCUUGACAAAAGUGCCUUCUCUUGUGUUGGAAACAUAAAUCGUAACUAACAUCCCUGCAACCGAAAACAUGAUAAUUGCUGAAAUUUGAUUGGUUGAUUGUGUGAAGUUUAAUCAUUGUUUAAACCGGACCCUCAGCAAUAAUUCCUAGCGGGACAGGAACUAACGACUUACUAUAGUAGAAAAUACUACCAAAAACAUCCAAAACAAACCUUUAUUAGUUCGUGCCCCCAUGGAUUUUGGGGAGGGUUUGCAUUAAAUAGUUAUUUAACCAUGUUUGCACAUCCAAUAACAUCGCUUAGUUUUUCCUUUGCAAAACUUCAAUUCAAUAUUCCUUACAGAAAUGUGAUCGGGCUUUAGCUGCUGUCUGUCACAUGUGUGUUUUGGCAGGAUCUUGUUGGAGGAUGCAGAGGCAUUCUAAGAUUCAAUGCAAGAGGACACACAGAUAUAGAGGAAGGGGGCGAAAACCAAAAUCUUGGGAUUGCCGUUUCUGUAGGACGCUGGACUGGGCGGUGUAAAUUUCUAAGACUCUCUAUAGACUGCAGUUUCCAGUUGGUGGUUAGGGUUUGAGUAUUGUUUACAUGUUUCUCUGAGGUGGCGAUAAUUCUGGAAUCAGACUAAAAGAGGACAUAUUCAGAGGCUAUUGAGCAAAGAACAGGGGAAGAAGCUGAUUUUCGCAUAUCAAAGGAGAUCAUGGUAACCAAUUCCCAUUCUAGAAAAGAAAAUCUGAGGGUAAGCAAAAGGAGAGGACUACAAGCUAUUCAAUCUGUAUAAGAAGAAGCCAAGAUUUUCCAAUGACAAUGGGCAGCUAAUUGUAGGCGAUAAUGAGGAUCGGGCUAAGAUUAGCUGCCCUUUAAUGGGUGCAAAUUGUUUGGACGAUUUUUAAGGAAGUCAAUCACAAGCAUUAUGACCGAGAGGUCUGCAGGCAUUUUAUUAUCGGCCUUUCUUGACAUGACAACUUCUAGCUAACGAAAUGUCUACAAUUGGCUUGAAGCUUUUACAUGUCUAAAGAAAAUGACAUUUCUAUAAUCAUCCCAAAGUUCGCCAGCUAUGACUAGUAUCAUGUGAUAUGCCCUGAUGCUGCUUACUCAGUUCUGCACUGAGUUCUCAUCCAUUGGUCACUAAGAUGGUUUACAAGGUUGACCAAACUGUAUCUGCAAUUUUUUCAACAUACGUAUAUGCAAGCUGUAGGCUUCAAUUUGCAAAGGGACCCGCGGUUGUAAUGUGCAGUGCAGGGGCAUAUGCAAGGCACAGGGGUCUGCUGCUUAUGUGGAAGCCUUACAGACGUGAGACAAUGUUUUAUCAAUGCACCACACUAAAUGAAUAAGCCCAGGUCUUAAUGCUACGGGUAAAGUGUCUGUGCCACGCGAGUUCAAGGAAGCAGUGAGAGGGUGCAAUGGUCUUAAUAUUAAAGUUUUAUUUUAGAAAUGGUUUCCCAAAAAGCAGAUACCAAACAAGGAUUUUGUUUGGGGGAAUCAUGGGUAGUUUCUAUCAAGAUAGAAGGAGGCAUCAGAUUGUUGUCUGAGAAUCUAAAAUGAUUGGAUAGCAAUUGAUACUCCAGCACAUUUAAAUUGGAAGAAUUGUUCUGCUUCUUUGAAUGACUAUCAUCAGGCAUUAGAUAUGGAUGAGGUUUUGGCUCGGUAAGAAGAGGAUUGCUUUCUUCAUGAUUUCCCAUGAAAUCAGGAUGUGCUAGAUUACUUCGGGUAGUCACUUCCAUGGGGAGUUUAACGCUAGUUAAUAAUUCUAAGAAAAAGUGGCUCGUCACAGGACCGAGACAGAAAACCUUCAGUUGGAGGCUUGAGAAACGAUUGAUGAAGGUUCCCACCGGGCAAUGGAAAGCCUGCUUCUUGAGUCUAAUUUUUUCAUGUGCUUUUUUGUCGGGCCUGCCCUUCGGCACUCUGUAUAUUUGGCUUUUUUAUAGUGGUCUUCUUUGUGUUAGUGGGUUGUGAUCUUUAUUCUGAUGUUGAUAUUCAGUCAUGUCGUAUGGGUCUUUCCUUAGUUAUCUGAGGUGCAAAUAAUUUUAUGGUUGUAUCUGUAAGCAUGUUUUCUUCUGGUUUGGGUGAGGGCCACUGUAGAUCCCUCUCUAAUUGAUCUAAAAAACAUUGCGUAAUCGAAAAACACAAGAAAGAUUGAUUUAGUUUUCUAAAUUGCAAAAUUAGUUAUAUUUUACUUUAACUAUGAAAAAGCACAAGGAAUAUUACUUUGUAUUUCUAAAUUGCAAAAUAGAUAUCUGUUGCUUUAGACAAAAAACAGAAAAUGUCAUCAAUC